rnacentral:rRNA from 1 species
GUGUCAGCCGCCGCGGUAAUACGGAGGAUCCUAGCGUUGUCCGGAUUUAUUGGGUUUAAAGGGUGCGUAGGCGGAUUACUAAGUCAGGGGUGAAAGCCGGUAGCUUAACUAUCGAAUUGCCUUUGAAACUGGUAGUCUUGAAUACUGUUGAGGUGGGCGGAAUGUAUCAUGUAGCGGUGAAAUGCUUAGAUAUGAUACAGAACACCGAUUGCGAAGGCAGCUCACUAAGCAGUUAUUGACGCUGAGGCACGAAAGCGUGGGGAUCAAACAGGAUUAGAAACCCCCGUAGUCC